AGAAAUACGUCCACUUGGUAAUCCUCUGAGCUCGAUCCUCCAGAGAGCAGACUGGAGACUUUAGUAAUGCACCUGAUAAGCUUCUGUUUUGAUCAGUGAAGCAGAACAGAAGCUGCCCCUCUGUCAGUGAGUUGACUACCUUUUCGCAGGACGAAUGGUGAACUAAAGUUGCAGAUCUGUGCCAGUUUCAGCUGCCUGAAUUCUAUUGAACAAUAUCCUACGCAUUUCAGUCUUAGAUGUUCAUAUCUUUGUGCACUAAUGGUGAAACUGCAUACACGAGUAAUUGAGAAAACGUGAUUUUCAGAGAGGGAGAGAAAUAUUCCUAAAUCUGAUGGUAAAAUUUUGAAGAAUUAUCGAAUAAAAACGUAAUUCUUGAAUGGUGUACUCUCGUUACUGAUCUGUCCACCAAAGAUCGCUCAUGUGGUCUACGCUUCAGCAAUGUAUCAGGGUUUGUCAUAGACAGCACUGAGAGUUUGAGGAUUUACUUUUGAUCUUAAGGUGAGCUAAAUUUGCAUUGAUUGUUGGUCAGAUUAACUGUAAAGAAGGAAAUAGAACUCCCAAGAACCAUCAUUUAAAGUUAGCUGCAGUUCAGGGUUUCUAGCUUGUCUGCAGAUAGACGUUUUUGGGUGCUAGUAGCAUUAAGGAAUGCUUGCCUAUCGACUUGAGAACUUCAAGAUAAACUCUCUAUUGGUUUCAGACUGAUUCAGGGGUGCUGAAACUUCUCUUCUACCAUAAUUAUGGUAGCCCUUGGGCAGACCUUUAGCUGUGGCCCAGCUUCUGAACUCUAAUCCCAAAAUAGGACCAGUCUCAUGAACAAAUAGAUUUGCGCUUAAACCUCCCAAUGCUAAUGGACUUCCUUGACAUGAAGGUGUCCAGUUGAGCAAAAUAUUUAAAGGAGGUAUACUUGCUUUGCAUGCUAUCAUUGUCAUUAUCUUACACUUAAACUUUUUGAAAAAAUUAGUUAAAAUAUUCACAAAGUAGAAUCUACCAACUCAUCCUGUAAAAGUUCACAUUGCAAUAUCAUUGUUUUAAGCACUUACAUAUUUUUGCCCCUUUUUUUCAGAACGAUCUUAGCUGAAAAGAUAUACGCCUGUUCAACCUCUGCAUCGAAAUCACAAAAGGCCUUGAUAAGCACUUGCGCACCCCACGAGAACUUGUAUUUUCUUUCUUUUCCUGUGAGAAAGAUUGCUGU
rnacentral:lncRNA from 1 species